CAGUAGCCGCGGGAAUACGUAGGGUGCGAGCGUUAAUCGGAAUUACUGGGCGUAAAGCGUGCGCAGGCGGUUUUGUAAGACAGGCGUGAAAUCCCCGGGCUCAACCUAGGAAUGGCGCUUGUGACUGCAAAGCUAGAGUGCGGCAGAGGGGGAUGGAAUUCCGCGUGUAGCAGUGAAAUGCGUAGAUAUGCGGAGGAACACCGAUGGCGAAGGCAAUCCCCUGGGCCUGCACUGACGCUCAUGCACGAAAGCGUGGGGAGCAAACAGGAUUAGAUACCCCCGUAGUCCCUGUCUCUUAUAC
rnacentral:rRNA from 1 species